ensembl:lncRNA
UCACACAUUUUCCCUUCGCAAAACCCCCAUUUAAGUGAAAAUCUCGCGUUUUCCCUUUGAGAAUCGUCAAUUUAAGUGAAAAUCAAGCGUUUUCUCUUUGAGAAUCCUCCCAUUUAAGUGAAGAUCACGAAUUUUCUCUUCUCAAAUCCCCCAUUUAAGCGAAAAUCACGCGUUUUCUCUUCGCAAAUCCCCCAUUUAACCAGAAAAUCAUGCGUUUUCUCUUCAAAAUCCCCCAUUUAAGUGAAAAUCACGCGUUUUCUCUUCGAGAAUCCAACAUUUAACGAAAAUCACGCGUUUUCUCGAAUCCCCCAUUUAAGCGAAAAUCACGCGUUUUCUCUUCGAGAAUCCAACAUUUAACCAGAAAAUCAUGCGUUUUCUCUUCGGAAAUCCCCCAUUGAAGCGAAAAUCACGUGUUUUCUCUUCGCAAAUCCCCCAUUUAACCAGAAAACCAAGCAUUUUCUCUUCGAGAAUCCCCCAUUUAACCCGAAAAUCAAGCGUUUUCUCAAAUCCCCCAUUUAAGCGAAAAUCACGCUUUUUCUCUUCGAGAAUCCAACAUUUAAC